rnacentral:rRNA from 1 species
CCUACGGGGGGCAGCAGUGGGGAAUAUUGGGCAAUGGGCGCAAGCCUGACCCAGCAACGCCGCGUGAAGGAAGAAGGCUUUCGGGUUGUAAACUUCUUUUUUCAGGGAAGAGUAGAAGACGGUACCUGACGAAUAAGCCACGGCUAACUACGUGCCAGCAGCCGCGGUAAUACGUAGGUGGCAAGCGUUGUCCGGGUUUACUGGGUGUAAAGGGCGUGUAGCCGGGUUGACAAGUCAGGUGUGAAAUCCUGCGGGUUAACCGCAGAACUGCAGUUGAAACUGUUGAUCUUGAGUACUGGAGAGGUAGAUGGAAUUCGGAGUGUAGCGGUGAAAUGCGUAGAUAUCAGGAGGAACCC